GAUGAACGCUGGCGGCGUGCUUAACACAUGCAAGUCGAACGGAAAGGCUCCUGCUUGCAGGGGUACUCGAGUGGCGAACGGGUGAGUAACACGUGGGUGAUCUGCCCUGCACUUCGGGAUAAGCCUGGGAAACUGGGUCUAAUACCGGAUAGGACCACAUUUUGGAUGGUGUGGUGGAAAGUUUUUCGGUGUAGGAUGAGCUCGCGGCCUAUCAGCUUGUUGGUGGGGUAAUGGCCUACCAAGGCGUCGACGGGUAGCCGGCCUGAGAGGGUGUACGGCCACAUUGGGACUGAGAUACGGCCCACACUCCUACGGGAGGCAGCAGUGGGGAAUAUUGCACAAUGGGCGCAAGCCUGAUGCAGCGACGCCGCGUGGGGGAUGACGGCCUUCGGGUUGUAAACUCCUUUCGCUAGGGACGAAGCGUUUUUGUGACGGUACCUGGAGAAGAAGCACCGGCUAACUACGUG
rnacentral:rRNA from 1 species